CCUGGAAUGGCAGAGCUAUGGCCAGGGCCUCUAGAUGCCCAGACCUCCUUUCCCUAGUCUCUACCCCUAUCCUCCAGUGCUUCCCAAACAGCUGCUUGCCUCUCUGACUCCAGGAGAGAGUAGAACAUGGCCUCUUGAGCUGCGUUUGGGGAAUUCCCUGUCUGGUAAAAAGGUUGGGAUCAUGAUGGCACAGGCCGCUGGCAGAGAUGGGCCCAUCACUAUCCUCCCCUCUGUUAUUUUCAGCUUUCAUGAGUUUUCAUUCACAAAGAAUAACCACCACGUUGCAAGGACCAUGAGGCCACUGUGCGUGUCGUGCUGGUGGCUGGGACUGCUGGCCACCCUGGGAGCUGCUGCAGGCCCCGAGGAUGGUUUUGAGGGCACGGAGGAGGGCUCACCGAGAGAGUACAUUUACCUCAACAGGUAUAAGCGGGCAGGCGAGUCCCCGGACAAGUGCACCUAUACGUUCAUUGUGCCCCAGCAGCGGGUCACGGGAGCCAUAUGCGUCAAUUCCAAGGAGCCCGAGGUGCUGCUGGAGAACCGCGUGCAUAAGCAGGAGCUGGAGCUGCUCAACAACGAGCUGCUCAAGCAGAAGCGGCAGAUCGAGACGCUGCAACAGCUGGUGGAGGUGGACGGUGGCAUCGUGAGUGAGGUGAAGCUGCUGCGCAAGGAGAGCCGCAAUAUGAACUCACGCGUCACACAGCUCUACAUGCAGCUACUGCACGAGAUCAUCCGUAAGCGAGACAAUGCGUUGGAGCUCUCCCAGCUGGAGAACCGCAUCCUCAACCAGACGGCCGACAUGCUGCAGCUGGCCAGCAAGUACAAGGACCUGGAGCACAAGUACCAGCACCUGGCCACACUGGCCCACAACCAAUCGGAGGUCAUCGCGCAGCUCGAGGAGCACUGCCAGAGGGUGCCUGCAGCCAGGCCUGUGCCCCAGCCGCCCCCUGCGGCCCCGCCACAGGUCUACCAGCCGCCCACCUACAACCGCAUCAUCAACCAGAUCUCUACCAAUGAGAUCCAGAGCGACCAGAACCUGAAGGUGCUGCCACCCCCUCUGCCCACCAUGCCUGCUCUCACCAGCCUCCCAUCCUCUACCGACAAGCCGUCAGGUAAGUCCUUCUGGGCCUCAGAGCCAGGCACUAGGCUUCCCUGGCUGUGACCACAAGUGGGAGAAGAGCCAGGACUUGCACAAUCCCUUAGCGAUCUCUUGGGACAGCCGCUGGGACCAGUGGGGUGAGGAGGGACCACAUGGCUUAGAUGGAUGCUCAAAGGUACAAGUGGGAAGUAAGGCGUUCCCAAGGGCCUGUGCUUCGCUGGGUUCUGCAUGGGAUGCUCUGUGUUGGUGGUGAGAAUGGCUCUCCUGUGGGCUGUGCAGUGUGCAGAGCAGAGCUGGCAUUCUAUAAAUGUCACCCAAAAACCAGGAGGCUAAGGGGAAGAGCACUGUCAUGCUGAAGGUAUGAUAAACACACCACAGGGGCCGGUGGAUGGGAUGGGGCACUUCUCAAAGCCCGUGAGCUUCCCACAACCUGCUGUUGCCUAGGAUUUUCAAUGGGGUUCUUUGGUUUGUUCUGUGGUUUUUUGGUUUGUUAGUUUGAGACAGGGACUUACUAUGUAGCCCAGGCUGGUCUGGAAUG